rnacentral:rRNA from 1 species
AUUGAACGCUGGCGGCAGGCCUAACACAUGCAAGUCGAGCGGAUGAAGGGAGCUUGCUCCUGGAUUCAGCGGCGGACGGGUGAGUAAUGCCUAGGAAUCUGCCUGGUAGUGGGGGAUAACGUCCGGAAACGGGCGCUAAUACCGCAUACGUCCUGAGGGAGAAAGUGGGGGAUCUUCGGACCUCACGCUAUCAGAUGAGCCUAGGUCGGAUUAGCUAGUUGGUGGGGUAAAGGCCUACCAAGGCGACGAUCCGUAACUGGUCUGAGAGGAUGAUCAGUCACACUGGAACUGAAACACCGUCCAGACUCCUACGGGAGGCAGCAGUGGGGAAUGUUGGACAGUGGGCGAAAGCCUUGUCCAGCCAUGCCGCGUGUGUGAAGAAGGUCUUCGGAUUGUAAAGCACUUUAAGUUGGGAGGAAGGGCAGUAAGUUAAUACCUUGCUGUUUUGACGUUACCAACAGAAUAAGCACCGGCUAACUUCGUG